rnacentral:rRNA from 1 species
UACGUAGGGGGCAAGCGUUGUCCGGAUUCAUUGGGCGUAAAGAGCUCGUAGGCGGUUCGGUAAGUCGGGUGUGAAAUCUCCGUGCUCAACACGGAGCGGCCACCUGAUACUGCCGUGACUCGAGUCCGGUAGGGGAGUGUGGAAUUCCCGGUGUAGCGGUGAAAUGCGCAGAUAUCGGAAAGAACACCAACGGCGAAAGCACUCUGCUGGGCCGACACUGACACUGAGAGACGAAAGCUAGGGGAGCGAAUGGG